rnacentral:lncRNA from 1 species
CCCCCAACAACAAAAGGGUUUAGUUCACCAUUGUCAUGGUGAACUUAGAUGAAAAUAAUGGAAGAACGGAAGAGCAAACCCUAGAUAAGAUGGAAAUGAGCCUAAGCAUCCAAGAGAUCCUCUCUAGAGAGUGGAAAUUAGGUCUGGCCACCCUCUUCUGUCAAAAGAAUGAGAAUGAAAUCGUAACAGGGCUAUUUAUAGCUGAGGAGCGUCACAAAAAACAGGCCCAGGCCCAGCGGACAACCACCCGACGACACACUUAUGCCGCUCGGCUGUUUGCCUCUAAUAGCACCACCGCCCAACGGCAGGGGGCCACCGCCCGACGGUUUGCCUCUAAUCGCAAAUCCGCCCAGCGCCCAUGCCAGGUGCCUUCACUGCCG